rnacentral:rRNA from 1 species
AUUGAACGCUGGCGGCAGGCCUAACACAUGCAAGUCGAGCGGCAGCGGGAAAGUAGCUUGCUACUUUUGCCGGCGAGCGGCGGACGGGUGAGUAAUGCCUGGGAAAUUGCCCAGUCGAGGGGGACAACAGUUGGAAACGACUGCUAAUACCGCAUAAGCCCUACGGGGGAAAGCAGGGGACCUUCGGGCCUUGCGCGAUUGGAUAUGCCCAGGUGGGAUUAGCUAGUUGGUGAGGUAAUGGCUCACCAAGGCGACGAUCCCUAGCUGGUCUGAGAGGAUGAUCAGCCACACUGGAACUGAGACACGGUCCAGACUCCUACGGGAGGCAGCAGUGGGGAAUAUUGCACAAUGGGGGAAACCCUGAUGCAGCCAUGCCGCGUGUGUGAAGAAGGCCUUCGGGUUGUAAAGCACUUUAAGUCGGGAGGAAGGGCUGUAGGCUAAUACCUUGCAGUUUUGACGUUACCGACAGAAUAAGCACCGGCUAACUUCGUGCCAGCAGCCGCAGUAAUAC